GACGAACGCUGGCGGCGUGCUUAACACAUGCAAGUCGAGCGAGAAGGUUUCUUCGGAGGCCUUCUAGCGGCGGACGGGUGAGUAACACGUGGGCAACCUGCCUUAAAGAGGGGGAUAGCCUCCCGAAAGGGAGAUUAAUACCGCAUAACAUCGGUUUAUCGCAUGAUGUACCGAUUAAAGGAGUAAUCCGCUUUAAGAUGGGCCCGCGGCGCAUUAGCUAGUUGGUGAGGUAACGGCUCACCAAGGCCACGAUGCGUAGCCGACCUGAGAGGGUGAUCGGCCACAUUGGGACUGAGACACGGCCCAGACUCCUACGGGAGGCUG
rnacentral:rRNA from 1 species